rnacentral:rRNA from 1 species
UGGGGAAUUUUGGACAAUGGGGGAAACCCUGAUCCAGCCAUCCCGCGUGUGCGAUGAAGGCCUUCGGGUUGUAAAGCACUUUUGGCAGGAAAGAAACGUCAUGGGUUAAUACCCCGUGAAACUGACGGUACCUGCAGAAUAAGCACCGGCUAACUACGUGCCAGCAGCCGCGGUAAUACGUAGGGUGCAAGCGUUAAUCGGAAUUACUGGGCGUAAAGCGUGCGCAGGCGGUUCGGAAAGAAAGAUGUGAAAUCCCAGAGCUCAACUUUGGAACGGCAUUGUUAACUAACGGGCUAGAGUGUGUCAGAGGGAGGUGGAAUUCCGCGGGUAGCAGUGAAAUGCGUAGAUAUGCGGAGGAACACCGAUGGCGAAGGCAGCCUCCUGGGAUAACACUGACGCUCAUGCACGAAAGCGUGGGGAGCAAACAGG